GAAUGUUACAGUGCUGAUGCUGUGCUCAGCAGUAGCCAAAACACCGGACAAGUCCCAAGGAAACAGCGCUUCAGGACUCUAUCACUGGACCUGUUUUAUCUGAGUGAGAAACUUCCAGCCUUUCUAUAGGUCCUGCUUUCUCAAGUUGUAAUACCAUCAAGUACCACCUUAUUUCUGGUUUGGGUGUUAUGGUGUUUAGCUGUGGGAUUUUUUAAAUGAAGAAUCAAGACAAAUUCCAACAGUUUUGCUAAAGCAGCUAUUGCUUUUAACCAUUGAACUGAAUUAAUGCAGGCUCACUACACUGCUUGGGACACUGGGGACUGGGCUCCAAGAGCUGGUCACACGAUGUUCAUGAUACACCGGUCAGAUAGGAGAGGAGCAGGAGGUUGGAUGAGUUCAUCUGAGAAAACACGGGAUUGAGGAAUGGAUGCAGCCAGCUACUGGGGUACCAAAGACUAUUAGCAAUACAGCAAUUAAAUGAAAU